rnacentral:rRNA from 1 species
UACGUAGGGAGCAAGCGUUGUUCGGAAUUAUUGGGCGUAAAGAGCGCGUAGGCGGUUCGGUAAGUCUGAUGUGAAAUCCCAGAGCUUAACUUUGGAACUGCAUUGGAUACUGCCGAGCUUGAGUGUGGGAGAGGAGAGUGGAAUUCCCAGUGUAGAGGUGAAAUUCGUAGAUAUUGGGAGGAACACCCGUGGCGAAGGCGGCUCUCUGGACCACAACUGACGCUGAGGCGCGAAAGCUAGGGUAGCAAACGGGAUUAGAUACCCCUGUA